AGAGAAUUUAGCAUUAAAUAGGCUGAGAUCCAGAAUUUGUGGGAACGUGAGAUGUUAGACAUCGGUAAUAUUUAGUUCGGAGAAAUGAACAUUAUAAAACUUCUUCCGGUUGGUGGAUCGGCAAAAUCAUUAGGGAAGCGGACAAAACAUUUUGUUGUAUUUAGAUUAUUUUCUAUUACGUUCUCCUCAGUUCUCUUGUGAAUGGAUCAAGAGCCAGACAUUUGUGAUAAAUCGAGCAGAUGCGAAGCAUUGCUGAGAGUUCGGGUUCCCAUUUAAAUA